GAGAACAAGGAGAUCUCUGAAAAGGGGAGGCAAGGAAGUAGUAGAAAUGUUGAAGAGGAGACAACCCGCUCUUGAACUUAAGACUAUGCGCGUCGCGUGCUCGAUCUAGCAAUUGUUUUGAUGAACUGAACUUUCAUUAAAAAAGAAAGAAGAGAAAGGGAGUUGGCGCCUACAUAACAGGUUGCUUGCUUACCAAGCCAUCCUGGCUUUUCGCUCCUCCAGUUCGAUUAUUAUUAUUUUAUUGACUUAUUAUUAUAAAAACAACUCACUAUCAAAAUGAAAGACGAUCGAUUAUCAACCCAAGAAGAUAGAGAGUCCCACAUACGAAAAAGGGGUCACAAAUAGAGUUGAACCAAGUAACAUUGCAAAGGCAUAAUGAUA